rnacentral:rRNA from 1 species
UACGUAGGUGGCAAGCGUUAUCCGGAUUUAUUGGGCGUAAAGGGAACGCAGGCGGUCUUUUAAGUCUGAUGUGAAAGCCUUCGGCUUAACCGGAGUAGUGCAUUGGAAACUGGGAGACUUGAGAGCAGAAGAGGAGAGUGGAACUCCAUGUGUAGCGGUGAAAUGCGUAGAUAUAUGGAAGAACACCAGUGGCGAAAGCGGCUCUCUGGUCUGUAACUGACGCUGAGGUCCGAAAGCGUGGGUAGCAAACAGG